rnacentral:rRNA from 1 species
UAGUGAAGAGUACCGUGAGGGAAAGGUGAAAAGAACCCUGAGCAAGGGAGUGAAACAGAAUUUGAAACCGUGUGCCUACAAACGGUAGGAGCCCGUUCCGGGUGACUGCGUGGAUUUUGGUUAAUCAUCCUGCGAGUUAUGGCUGGUGGCAAGGUUAAUAGACGGAGCCGAAGGGAAACCAAGUCUUAACAGGGCGACAAGUCGCCGGCCAUAGACGCGAAACCUAGUGAUCUAGGCCUGUCCAGGCUGAAGCUGAGGUAAGACUCAGUGGAGGGCCGAACUCACCGCCGUUGAAAAGUUGGGAGAUGAGAUAGGUCUAGGGGUGAAAAGCCAAUCGAACUAGGAGAUAGCUCGUUCUCUCCGAAAUGCAUUUAGGUGCAGCCUUGAACUGAGAUAUGUGGGGGUAGAGCUCUGUAUGAUCUAGGGGGCGUACUGCUUACCGAAAUCAAGCAAACUUCGAAUACCAUAUAUCAUGUUCAGGAGUGAGUCCGUGGAUGACAAGGUCCUCGGACGAGAGGGGAACAGCCCAGACCGCCAGCUAAGGUCCCUAAUUAUGUCUAAGUGGGAAAGGAGGUGGAUAUUCACAGACAACCAGGAGGUUGGCUUAGAAGCAGCCAUGCCUUGAAAGAGUGCGUAAUAGCUCACUGGUCGAGAGUGCCUGCGCCGAAGAUGUAACGGGGCUAAGACAUAAACCGAAGCUGCGGAAGAUACUACGUAUCUUGGUAGGAGAGCGUUCUGUAGGCCGUCGAAGGGAUGCCGCAAGGCCAUCCUGGAGGUAUCAGAAGCGAGAAUGCAGGAAUGAGUAGCGAGAAGGCGGGCGAGAAUCCCGCCGGCCGGAAGUCCAAGGUUUCCAGGGGAAGGCUUGUCCGCCCUGGGGAAGUCGGGACCUAAGCAUAAGCAAAAUUGUGACGGCGAAUGGAAAACAGGUUAAUAUUCCUGUACCGCUGUUAUCGCUUGAGAGACGGAGUGACGCAGGAAGGUAUGCGAGAAGGCUGACGGUUUAGCCUUUCUAAGGGCCCAGCGUGGGCGUGCAGGUAAAUCCGCACGCCUAAACGUGAGACCUGACGGGGAAGUGCACUUGCAUAAGUCGCAGAUCCUACACUGCCAGGAAAAACUUCUAUCGAUGAGAAGCAGCGCCCGUACUGUAAACCGACACAGGUGGACAGAGUGAGAAACUUAAGGCCGACAGGAUAACUCUAGCUAAGGAACUCUGCAAAAUAGCCCCGUAACUUCGGGAGAAGGGGUGCCUGACAUACCUGAAGGGAGAGACGCUCCCAGGGGAAACAGGCCGCAGUGAAGAGUCCCAAGCAACUGUUUACCAAAAACACAGGUCUAUGCUAAGCUGAAAGGCGACGUAUAUGGGCUGACACCUGCCCAGUGCCGGAAGGUUAAGAGGAGGAGUGAGAGCUCCGAUUUGAAGCCCCGGUGAACGGCGGCCGUAACUAUAACGGUCCUAAGGUAGCGAAAUUCCUUGUCGGGU